rnacentral:misc_RNA from 1 species
UCCGAGUUGACCCCGGCAGUCUCUCACGAGUCCCCACCAUUACGUGCUGGCAACAUGAGACAAGGGUUGCGCUCGUUGCGGGACUUAACCCAACAUCUCACGACACGAGCUGACGACAGCCAUGCACCACCUGUAUAGGACCCUUACGGACCCCCCAUCUCUGGAGGAUUUCCCUAUAUGUCAAACCCAGGUAAGGUUCUUCGCGUUGCAUCGAAUUAAUCCGCAUGCUCCGCCGCUUGUGCGGGCCCCCGUCAAUUCCUUUGAGUUUCAGUCUUGCGGCCGUACUCCCCAGGCGGUCGACUUCACGCGUUAGCUUCGUUACUGAGAGGGAACCCUCCCAACAACCAGUCGACAUCGUUUACGGCAUGGACUAC